AACUUUCAACAACGGAUCUCUUGGUUCUGGCAUCGAUGAAGAACGCAGCGAAAUGCGAUAAGUAAUGUGAAUUGCAGAAUUCAGUGAAUCAUCGAAUCUUUGAACGCACAUUGCGCCCCGUGGUAUUCCGCGGGGCAUGCCUGUUCGAGCGUCA
rnacentral:rRNA from 9 species